CCUGAUGCAGCCAUGCCGCGUGUGUGAAGAAGGCCUUCGGGUUGUAAAGCACUUUCAGUUGUGAGGAAGGCAUAUACGUUAAUAGCGUAUGUGUUUGACGUUAGCAACAGAAGAAGCACCGGCUAACUCCGUGCCAGCAGCCGCGGUAAUACGGAGGGUGCGAGCGUUAAUCGGAAUUACUGGGCGUAAAGCGCAUGCAGGCGGCUUGUUAAGCCAGAUGUGAAAGCCCGGGGCUCAACCUCGGAAUAGCAUUUGGAACUGGCAGGCUAGAGUCUUGUAGAGGGGGGUAGAAUUUCAGGUGUAGCGGUGAAAUGCGUAGAGAUCUGAAGGAAUACCGGUGGCGAAGGCGGCCCCCUGGACAAAGACUGACGCUCAGAUGCGAAAGCGUGGGGAGCAAACAGGAUUAGAUACCCUGGUAGUCCACGCCGUAAACGAUGUCUACUUGGAGGUUGGAACCUUGAGUUCUGGCUUUCGGAGCUAACGCAUUAAGUAGACCGCCUGG
rnacentral:rRNA from 3 species